AUCCCAUUAGCAUGACUGGAAUGCUCCAAAAAGAGGUCACAUGUUAAGAGUCCUAGGAACAUGACCCAGAACUAAGGGUUAUGAGUUGGGGUAGAGAGACUUUGAUUAGUUCCUGAGAUGUGAUAGACCAGCUCAAAGAGACAGAAAGGGAUGUGGAGAAAAGGACUACAAAAGAUGAGACCCAUAAAGGAGAUCAAGGGCUUUUGGUGUGAGUUUGCUGGCAUUGAUUCUUCUACUCCAUUUGGCAUUAGUGGCAUAGGAGGAAGACACCUUCAUGGGCUGAGACUGUCUGGCGACUGACUAACUUCCAAUGAAGUUCCCAUAAAAAUG
rnacentral:lncRNA from 1 species